GGGCGGUUAGCUCAGUUGGCUAGAGCGCCUGCUCGACACGCAGGAGGUCAGAAGUUCAAGUCUUCUACCGCCCA
rnacentral:tRNA from 1 species